rnacentral:rRNA from 1 species
AUUGAACGCUGGCGGCAUGCCUUACACAUGCAAGUCGAACGGCAGCACGGGUGCUUGCACCUGGUGGCGAGUGGCGAACGGGUGAGUAAUACAUCGGAACAUGUCCUGUAGUGGGGGAUAGCCCGGCGAAAGCCGGAUUAAUACCGCAUACGAUCUACGGAUGAAAGCGGGGGACCUUCGGGCCUCGCGCUAUAGGGUUGGCCGAUGGCUGAUUAGCUAGUUGGUGGUGUAAAGGCCUACCAAGGCGACGAUCAGUAGCUGGUCUGAGAGGACGACCAGCCACACUGGGACUGAGACACGGCCCAGACUCCUACGGGAGGCAGCAGUGGGGAAUUUUGGACAAAGGGCGAAAGCCUGAUCCAGCAAUGCCGCGUGUGUGAAGAAGGCCUUCGGGUUGUAAAGCACUUUUGUCCGGAAAGAAAUCCUUGGCCCUAAUACGGUCGGGGGAUGACGGUACCGGAAGAAUAAGCACCGGCUAACUACGUG